UACGUAGGGGGCAAGCGUUGUCCGGAUUUAUUGGGCGUAAAGAGCGUGUAGGCGGCCAGAUAGGUCAGCUGUGAAAACUCGAGGCUCAACCUCGAGACGUCGGCUGAAACCAUCUGGCUAGAGUCCGGAAGAGGAGUGUGGAAUUCCCGGUGUAGCGGUGAAAUGCGCAGAUAUCGGGAAGAACACCCGUGGCGAAGGCGGCACUCUGGGACGGUACUGACGCUGAGACGCGAAAGCGUGGGGAGCGAACAGG
rnacentral:rRNA from 1 species